rnacentral:rRNA from 1 species
AGAGAUGUGUGAUGACGCAUAUCAAUAAGCGGAGGAAAAGAAACUAACAAGGAUUCCCUUAGUAACGGCGAGUGAAGCGGGAAGAGCUCAAAUUUGAAAUCUUCAAGGUUCUACCUUGACGAAUUGUAGUUUAUAGAAGUGUUUUCUGUUAGGGAGUUUGGCAAAAGUUCUUUGGAAUAGGACAUCAUAGAGGGUGAGAAUCCCGUAUUUGGUCAUUCCUUCUAGCGUUGUGAUACACUUUCAACGAGUCGGAUUGUUUGGGAAUGCAGUCCAAAAUGGGUGGUAAAUUUCAUCUAAAGCUAAAUAUUGGCGAGAGACCGAUAGCGAACAAGUACCGUGAGGGAAAGAUGAAAAGAACUUUGAAAAGAGAGUUAAACAGUACGUGAAAUUGUCAAAAGGGAAGCGUUUGACACCAGUGUUGUUUUUCUCGAAAAUCAAUUAACGAAUGAUUUGGAUUUUGAGUAGUUAUGACUUCAAUCGCUUGCUCACUUCUUUACUGUACUUUUUAAUGCACUUUUCGUUUAACAAGUCAACAUCAGUUUCUUUUGUUGUAAAAGGGUACGAGGAAGGUGGCUUUCUUUUCGGAGGAAGUGUUUAUAGCCUUGUACCUCUGCAAUCGGAGAGAUUGAGGUCUGCAGCGUAGAUCCUUCGGGGUUAGAUACAUUUGUGCUAAGUUAUAGCUUUUCAUAGACAACUUGUUGACUAUGUUAAGUCUUGUAGCUUACUCGCUUAUGCUAUUUUACCUACGCUUAGGAUGUUGAAGUCAUCGUAUCGCGC